GAUGAACGCUGGCGGUAUGCUUAACACAUGCAAGUCGAACGGACUCUUCGGAGUUAGUGGCGGACGGGUGAGUAACGCGUGAGAAUCUGGCUUUGGGUUCGGGACAACCACUGGAAACGGUGGCUAAUACCGGAUGUGCCGAGAGGUAAAAGAGAAAUUGCCUGAAGAUGAGCUCGCGUCUGAUUAGCUAGUUGGUGAGGUAAAGGCUCACCAAGGCAGCGAUCAGUAGCUGGUCUGAGAGGAUGACCAGCCACACUGGGACUGAGACACGGCCCAGACUCCUACGGGAGGCAGCAGUGGGGAAGUUUCCGCAAUGGGCGAAAGCCUGACGGGGCAAUACCGCGUGAGGGAAGAAGGCUCUUGGGUGGUAAACCUCUUUUCUUAGGGAAGAACAAAAUGACGGUACCUAAGGAAUCAGCAUCGGCAAACUCCGU
rnacentral:rRNA from 1 species